rnacentral:rRNA from 1 species
UACGGGGGGGGCAAGCGUUGUUCGGAAUUACUGGGCGUAAAGGGCUCGUAGGUGGCCAACUAAGUCAGACGUGAAAUCCCCAGGCUCAACCUGGGAACUGCGUCUGAUACUGGAUGGCUUGAAUCCGGGAGAGGGAUGCAGAAUUCCAGGUGUAGCGGUGAAAUGCGUAGAUAUCUGGAGGAACACCGAUGGCGAAGGCAGGUCUCUGGGCUGACACUGACGCUCAUGCACGAAAGCGUGGGGAGCAAACAGG